rnacentral:lncRNA from 1 species
AUUAAUUUAUAUGCAAAAAAUUCUAUUGUAGAAAACAAGAAAAAGAUUUUAAAAUUGAGUCAAAAUGUGAAAUAUAUUAGUGAUGAAUACUUAGAAAUUUUAUUACAAUUUAUAUUAAUACAAUAUGAAACAUAAAAUAUACAUAAUUUAACAAGUAAUAAUAAUAAUAAUAAUAGAUGAUCAAAUACACUUUUGAAUAGUUAUUUUUAUGUCUCUUGUGCUUUUGUAAUUUUACUUAAAAAAUGUUACAAAGACUUUUGUU